UACGGAGGGUGCAAGCGUUAAUCGGAAUUACUGGGCGUAAAGCGCACGUAGGUGGCUGAGUCAGUCGAUUGUGAAAGCCCUGGGCUUAACCUGGGAAUUGCAGUCGAUACUACUCAGCUAGAGUAUGGGAGAGGGUAGUGGAAUUCCCGGUGUAGCGGUGAAAUGCGUAGAUAUCGGGAGGAACAUCAGUGGCGAAGGCGGCUACCUGGCCCAAUACUGACACUCAGGUGCGACAGCGUGGGGAGCAAACAGG
rnacentral:rRNA from 1 species